CCUACGGGUGGCAGCAGUAGGGAAUUUUGCGCAAUGGGCGAAAGCCUGACGCAGCAACGCCGCGUGAUCGAGACGCCCUUCGGGGUGUAAAGAUCUGUCAGUGGGGACGAAAAUUGACGGUACCCACAGAGGACGCACCGGCUAACUCCGUGCCAGCAGCCGCGGUAAUACGGGGGGUGCAAGCGUUAUCCGGAAUCAUUGGGCGUAAAGGGUGCGUAGGCGGGCAUGAAAGCCAGGAGUGAAAGGCCGGGGCCCAACGCCGGGACGGCACGUGGAACUUGCGGGCUGGAGUGCAGGAGGGGAAGGCGGAAUUCCUGGUGUAGCGGUGAAAUGCGUAGAUAUCAGGAGGAACACCGGUGGCGAAGGCGGCCUGCUGGACUGCAACUGACGUUGAGGCACGAAAGCGAGGGGAGCAAACAGGAUUAGAUACCCCAGUAGUC
rnacentral:rRNA from 1 species